AUUGAACGCUGGCGGCAGGCUUAACACAUGCAAGUCGAACGAGUGGCGGACGGGUGAGUAAUGUCUGGGAAACUGCCUGAUGGAGGGGGAUAACUACUGGAAACGGUAGCUAAUACCGCAUACCAUCGGAUGUGCCCAGAUGGGAUUAGCUAGUAGGUGGGGUAAUGGCUCACCUAGGCGACGAUCCCUAGCUGGUCUGAGAGGAUGACCAGCAACACUGGAACUGAGACACGGUCCAGACUCCUACGGGAGGCAGCAGUGGGGAAUAUUGCACAAUGGGCGCAAGCCUGAUGCAGCCAUGCCGCGUGUGUGAAGAAGGCCUUCGGGUUGUAAAGCACUUGCAGCGGGGAGGCGUUACCCGCAGAAGAAGCACCGGCUAACUCCGUGCCAGCAGCCGCGGUAAUUC
rnacentral:rRNA from 1 species